rnacentral:rRNA from 1 species
UACGUAGGGGGCUAGCGUUGUCCGGAAUCAUUGGGCGUAAAGCGCGCGUAGGCGGCCCGGUAAGUCCGUUGUGAAAGUCAAAGGCUCAACCUUUGAAAGCCGAUGGAUACUGCCGGGCUAGAGUCCGGAAGAGGCGAGUGGAAUUCCUGGUGUAGCGGUGGAAUGCGCAGAUAUCAGGAGGAACACCUAUUGCGAAGGCAGCUCGCUGGGACGUAACUGACGCUGAGACGCGAAAGCGUGGGGAGCAAACAGG